GAUGAACGCUGGCGGCGUGCCUAAUACAUGCAAGUCGAGCGAACAGACGAGGAGCUUGCUCCUCUGACGUUAGCGGCGGACGGGUGAGUAACACGUGGAUAACCUACCUAUAAGACUGGGAUAACUUCGGGAAACCGGAGCUAAUACCGGAUAACAUGUUGAACCGCAUGGUUCAACAGUGAAGGACGGUCUUGCUGUCACUUAUAGAUGGAUCCGCGCCGCAUUAGCUAGUUGGUAAGGUAACGGCUUACCAAGGCAACGAUGCGUAGCCGACCUGAGAGGGUGAUCGGCCACACUGGAACUGAGACACGGUCCAGACUCCUACGGGAGGCAGCAGUAGGGAAUCUUCCGCAAUGGGCGAAAUCCUGACGGAGCAACGCCGCGUGAGUGAAGAAGGUCUUCGGAUCGUAAAACUCUGUUAUUAGGGAAGAACAAAUGUGUAAGUAACUAUGCACGUCUUGACGGUACCUAAUCAGAAAGCCACGGCUAACUACG
rnacentral:rRNA from 1 species